rnacentral:rRNA from 1 species
CAGCCGCCGCGGUAAUACCGGCGGCCCGAGUGGCGGUCACUAUUAUUGGGCUUAAAGCGUCCGUAGCCGGGUUGGGAAGUCCUCCGGGAAAUCUGGCCGCUUAACGGUCAGAAUGCCGGAGGAUACUCCCAGCCUAGGGAGCGGGGGAGGCCGAGGGUAUUCCCGGAGUAGGGGGGAAAUCCUAUAAUCCCGGGAGGACCACCGGUGGCGAAGGCGCUCGGCGGGAACGCGUCCGACGGUGAGGGACGAAGGCCAGGGGAGCAAACCGGAUUAGAUACCCGGGUAGUCCUGGCUGUAAACGAUGCGGACUUUGUGUCGGACAAGCUAUGAGCUUGUCCGGUGCCGGAGGGAAACCGUUAAGUCCGCCGCCUGGGGAGUACGGCCGCAAGGCUGAAACUUAAAGGAAUUGGCGGG